UUUCAAUGAUGUCAUAGAGUAGCUUUCUCCAGCUGAAGUAUUCCAGGUAUGUAAAGAUUUCUCCUCAGAAGGAUUUUGGAGUUACCAGUUCAAAUUACAGGGGAAGCUUUAUUCUCAAACAUCAGUGACGUGUAUAAGGAAACCUCUCAUUGUAAUUAAUGUAAAGAAAAUAUGCACUCCACCCUAAAAGGCUGAGCAGUGGGAAAAGGCUCACAACAUUGGCUUGCCAACAGAUUCUGUUCCCUAUCAGCCAUAAUGGAAUCAUUAUACCAGAGAAUUAAGAACAAUGCUGUCCAGAUGGAACAUAUGCAGCUGAAUUUCUACAGCCCUCAGAAAUCAUUGUACAGGCAAAUACAUCUGGGAUUGUAUUUAUACUG